AAGGAAUAUUGGUCAAUGGGCGCAAGUCUGAACCAGCCAUGCCGCGUGAAGGAUGAAGGUCCUCUGGAUUGUAAACUUCUUUUAUCUGGGACGAAAACGGGAUUUUUAUCUCAAUUGACGGUACCAGAGGAAUAAGCACCGGCUAACUCCGUGUUAGCAGCCGCGGUAAUACGGAGGGUGCGAGCGUUAUCCGGAUUUACUGGGUUUAAGGGUGCGUAGGUGGGCUUAUAAGUCAGUGGUGAAAUCUCCGAGCUUAACUUGGAAACUGCCGUUGAUACUAUAGGUCUUGAAUUAUCUGGAGGUAAGCGGAAUAUGUCAUGUAGCGGUGAAAUGCUUAGAUAUGACAUAGAACACCAAUUGCGAAGGCAGCUUACUACAUAUAAAUUGACGCUGAGGCACGAAAGCGUGGGGAUCAAAC
rnacentral:rRNA from 1 species